UACGUAGGGGGCCAGCGUUGCUCGGAAUUACUGGGCGUAAAGGGUCCGUAGGCGGUGUGGCAAGUCGGGAGUGAAAUCUCUGGGCUUAACCCAGAGGCUGCUUCCGAAACUGCUGUGCUAGAGUGUGAGAGAGGCGAGUGGAAUUGCGGGUGUAGCGGUGAAAUGCGUAGAUAUCCGCAGGAACAUCCGAGGCGAAAGCGGCUCGCUGGAUCACAACUGACGCUGAGGGACGAAAGCUAGGGGAGCAAACAGG
rnacentral:rRNA from 1 species